AUGGUGUGCGUCGAAACUCGAAAUUGAUCGUUAAAAUAUUCCAUUACUUUCAUUCUUAGACUUCAGUAGAUCACGGAAAACAUUCCAAAGCUCGGAUGAAACGAGGACGAGAGUGCAUGAGAGUUGGCAGUCACGCGACCUUGGUUAGCUGUUCUUAAUGCUUUCCCAACACUAUCAUGUAUUCUAUUUAAGUUAAAACAUAGUUGAAACACUGAUCAAACCUUUAUUUUGUUAAUCUAGAGCUUGAAAUGUCCC